UACAGAGGGUGCAAGCGUUAAUCGGAUUUACUGGGCGUAAAGCGUGAGUAGGUGGCUUUGUAAGUCGGUUGUGAAAUCCCUGGGCUCAACCUGGGAAUUGCAUCCGAUACUGCAAAGCUAGAGUUCGGUAGAGGACGGCGGAAUUCCCGGUGUAGCGGUGAAAUGCGUAGAUAUCGGGAGGAACAUCGAUGGCGAAGGCAACCGUCUGGGCCUGAACUGACACUGAGACACGAAAGCGUGGGUAGCAAACAGGAUUAGAAACCCCCGUAGUCC
rnacentral:rRNA from 1 species